GCUGCUGAGAAGUCGGUGAUGAUUGGGGAAAACCCAGCACCGUUAAUGAACAAUCUUCUAGGAAGUACUUCCUCAGGGUCAGCACCACAGAGCUAGCUACUGUGUUCCCGAGGGAACUGAAGCUGUAUCUUUUGCUGGCAGCUGAACCUGGUAAUAUGCAAGGGUGCCCCACAUGGUACCAGUUAUAAGGCAUGAAGGAACAGCUGAGACUUGGCAUUAGGAGAGCAGGGAGGCCACUGAUGACAGUGCAGCCUCAGUUGACACAGAAGCCCCAGGCUUGAAGGUGUCAUGGAGAGGGUGUGGCUAUGUGGCAGUCAGAGAAAAGAGCCCAAGAGUGCUCUAUGCAGACCUUUUGCAGCAGAGCCCUGGCAUUUCUGGAGAUGCCAGUGUCAUGCAGAGUUGUAGCCAGCCUCAGUCUAUGACAAGAUGCAUGUGUUGUAAACUGCACAUUGUCCAAGCCUUUGGAACCCAGAAGAUUCUGAGUGAAUCUCAGGCACUUGAUACUAAAUUACUCAUACUGUUAGGGGUUGGCUUUACUUGACUUGGUUGUGACAGUGCCCUGGUUCUUCCUCCUUGGAAUAUGAAGCUAUGUAGCGUGCCUCCCACUUUACAUUGAGAUCUUUAGAUCUGCCUUUCACUUUAUCUGUGUAUUUCCAUUCCUACAUAGGUUAAGCUUUUACAGUCUCAGUCUUAGAUUGCUUCACGUGCCCAGACCUAUUUCCCUCUAUGAUCUUUUCUUCACUUCUUUCUCUCACAAGACCAAUCCGUCUAAACAAGCUGUGGCCUUCCUUUUAUUUACUAUGUUAGAAUAGAAAUUCUUCCCCUGCCAUGUAAGUACCCAUCUUUAACAUUUUAACCAGUGUGUGUCUUUAUUCGUGUGGUGUCAGUCACUGUACCCAAUAGUAGUGUCCACUGAAGGACUUUGCGCCACUGUUCUCAUUUAUCUGACUCAGCGAAGUACCACUCACACUGCCACUACUCACACAGUCUAUGUUGCCUUCUCACCUGGACUAAAACCUCUCUCAAAGUGAAGAAUCAAGUCAUACACAUUUUUCAUAUGUUCCUACCUUAGUCAAUAUCAAACCCAAAGUAGGCACCUAACGAAUACUUGUCAAUCCUAUUGACCAAAUACUAAAAUCUUUUCUAAAUAAAAAGACAGCAAAUGACAUUUAAGCCAGUUAUUUCAACUUCUAUUCUAGGAACUCAACAGUAUACAAAAGACAGGACCACACAGUUACUGUACCAGCAAAGCAGCACAACCUGGCUGUAAAGGUAAAAUGCUGUCACCUGAAUGCUGAAGAUGCAUGCAAUUCUGAUCGCACAUCGUAUCCCUUCGAGGCAGAGAGAGGCCACGUCAGUAUCAUCACAGUCUUGUAGACCCACACUGAAGGCAGCCAGAAAAGGGGUCCAAGCCAACUAGAAAAAUCAACAUUUAAAAUAACAUGCAUAUCAAGUGGUAACUGAACUUCUUGGCAUAGUAAGCAAGAAAGUUUUUGUAAAGAAAAAACAAAAUGAUGUUUCUUGGGCUUAAAUAAAUGGAACCAAACAUGAA